GCCUGUGUAGCUCAGUGGCAGAGCAACUGACUUGUAAUCAGUAGGUCGAGAGUUCAACUCUCUCCACAGGCU
rnacentral:tRNA from 1 species